CAAAAGGCUCUUUUCAGAGCCAUUUUUUUAAAAUUUUCUGUAAUGG
rfam:Stegodyphus mimosarum contig34341, whole genome shotgun sequence.